GGACUAAAUUGAAAAGUGCGGUUCCAGAAUCUAGACGAUCCCGAUCAAAUUCUCCCCACGCACCAGAGGGGCGCCGCCGCGACGCGUGCCGGCGGUGGGGCUUCUCCUCGUGGGUUGCGCACUCUCCAUCGACGGCCUCCUCUCCCGGGCUACGCGCGGGACUAGCUCGCCGACGUGCCCACCCGCCUCGCUCGCCUCCUCCAUCUCCUCGCGCCAUCGAGGACCACUACGCCGCCGCUGUGCUUGCGCUCCGCCUCACGGGGGCGCAGGUUGCCGAAUUCGUGCUCCUAGACCAGGAGCUCGUGGCCGCGGCGCCAUUCAGUCUCCGUGUGCGACCACCGCGACAACCCUAGUCGCCACGGUCGUCGGCGCGGCUCCCACGCCUCCGAGCCUCCCGCGCGGCCGCCUCGGCCUCCUACCCUACGUCAAAUACGUGGCCCUGCCCUAAAUCGCCUCCUGCCCGGCUUCCCCGCGAACGCCGCUUGCCCAUGGACCACGCGCCUGCGCACGGUUGCCGGUUGUGGGCACGGUGGUGCUCUGCCUCUGCUCAUCGUCGCCUCCCUCACCACAUCUCCUCCGCUACUGGCGCCGUGUGAUGGUGAAUUUCCCCUUCCUCUUCCCCUCUUUUGUUCCAGUUUAGGAUGUGUUAAUGUGAUGUUGUUAAAUGAGAUCAUAUGCUGCUGUUAAGUGAAUUCAUCUGGUGUUGAUUGUUUGUUGUUAUAACCUACGCUUCCUAUUACCAACUCAAACAAAUUCCAAUUAUAUGUUAGUGUUUCAGACAAUUCAUAGACAUGCAAUGUGUUUGCCAAUGUUGCAAUGCUAUGUUAUUUGAGAAUUGAUACAUCUGUAUAUCACAUUUCAUCCGUGAUCAUCGACCCUUUAGUACCCUAAUGAAUGUUCCGUUUAAUUUGCGAAAUAUUUUCUGAACUCCAUUCCAAACCUGUGUUCCUGAUGACAUUCGUUGUCAAGGAGAAUUAGCUCAGAGUGACCAUCUAAACCUUGAUCGAUCCGUUUUGGGCUACUGGUGACCGCCGCCUCCCCGCAGGUAAACCCGAUGCUGGUUGAUUUCGAUGAAGGUGAUUUUUUAUGUUUCCUUUGUUCUCUUCCUUUUUUCUGCUAAUCAGCCAUCUGACGACCUGCUCUAGCCCACGGCAAAGGAGAUCAUGGCCUUGGAUGACAAAGAUGGUAACCUGCAGCUCAAGGGCUUGGCAUGGGUCUCUGUUCGAUCCAUGGAAGAAUUUCAGGAGGUUUACUCAAUUUUUUGAAAUGGGUGUGCAGAGAGGAAAGUUGCACACACAGGCCUGAACGAUGUUUCAAGUAGGAGCCAUGAUGUGCUCUCCAUCCGGAUCAAUAAUGAUACUUUCAAAGGGAAUCUUAACCUCAUUGACUUGGCUGGAAAUGAGGACAACAGAAGGACGUACAAUGAAGGGGUCCACCUUCAAGAAAGCUCCAAAAUUAAUUCUUCGCUGUUUGCCCUGUGGAAUAUCACUUCAGCUCUGAAGAAAAUGCAAAUGUGCUUCCUAAAUAUUUUUUAGGAAUAAAUAUAGUAGUUUAGCUUCAAACCUUGAUGAUUUGAACUCAUACUUAGAGUUUCCAUGUAUCAAUGGGCUUGAGUUUCAUGCUUGCAUUACCUUUACAGGAGCACAUGAACUGUUACUUCGAAAUUUAAAAUCUUCUAGUAAUACAGAAAACUGGUUGACCUUCUACUUGGUGUUUCUGGGUAGUUAUCAGUGGGUCAAGAUGAUGCAUAUACCAGAGGUACAUAUGAAAUGCGAGUUCUGAAAGAAUUUUACUGCAAGAUUGGGACAAACGAACUGACAUUGCUGACUGCCACACAGUUAUUGGUCAUUUGCUAAAUUGCUUGACAAAUAUCAGGAAGUACUCCAUUGCUUGACAAAUAUCAGGAAGUACCGCAUCGACCACGUUUUCAAUCCCUGUCCUCAAGGUCCUCACAGGACUUUGCCGCUGCUAGGCCGGAUUGCUACUGCUGUAGAUCAUGGUGUUUCCGAUUAGUUUGGUUAGUCCUGGUAUCCUCUUCUAUUUCGUGCGGCUCGUUGUUAUUUGGUAGCUUGGUUAAGUUAGUUGCGAUCUAAAUUUUCGUUAAGUUAGUCCACAUGCUCCAGUUUUAAUUCUGUAAUUAGUAAGCUAUCAAACGUGUACGGUGCUUGGAACCAAACUGCGGGACAUGAGAAGUGUUAGGUCUACUUUUUCUGUCCGAUGCUAGCACUAGCAAAUGUGAAGUUUGAUUGCCUAAAUGGAAUAAGUAUUGAGAUGGUCUAGCUUUCCAAUUGGGAUUCGUGGAAUAACUUAAGCAAUUUAUGAAGAAUUUAAGAAGUUGACCUGGUGUAUUUUGGGUACAAAGGGUACUUGUGUAUUUUUAUUAGCUCAGUGAUUUAAGUUUCGCGUACGGUGCAGAGGGACAUAAGAGAGCAGUGACAUAGAUUUGUGGAGUCCAGUCCACUAAAUUCUUACGCUUCGAAGGAGGAUAAAUUACUGGAAGUGCUGGGACUGUAAGUAUACCUGCAUCUUCUUUGUGAGGAGCAUUAUCUUUUUGGUGAGGAUCAUUGUCUUUUUCCGAGCAGUACAGUUCAGGUCCUGUAAGUUAGAUGCUUGGAACUCCAUGCACGGGGUUAAAGAUCCUGUAAUUAGAUUCUGUAAUUUAGAUGCUACAUGGAAAUUUUCGUUCUAGACCAUGUUGACACCAUGUUGCUUGCAAAUGUUGGUUUCAGACCAUGUUGACACAAUGUUGCUUGCAAAUAUUGGCCGCAUCAUGUAAUUUAGAUGCCUGGUUGUAAUUUUAAUGCAUGAUCAUGUCGCUGUGUUGGAUCAAAAUGCCAAGCAAUAUGAAAGUACUAUGAUUAUUGCCU